UUUUCGCAAUUUAAGUCAAUAUCCCUAACUUAUGUGGAGCAGUUCAUUUUACAUCGAAGGUAUUUUUCGUAUUUUCACGAGAGAAGUUCGUUUUGUUUUCAAGGGGGGUAUGGACGCGUAUCCAUGGAAGCAAAGGUACCAUUGCUUUCCCUAAAAUAAAACGAUUCGAAAUCACUCGAUUUCCCAAUCGAAAUUACUGAAAUCUCGGCUAUCAAUGUACAAUGUAGACGUUCUGAAACUCCGAUCCUGGUCCAGCCUUAGUUUAAAGCUUUGACAGGUUUUUCUAUGCGAUUAACAUCGAGAAGCCAUGACAUCGACUGUUAGGAUGAGGAAAAUGUUCAAAACAGAAUACUUCAUGACAUCUGAGUUUGAAUUUUGGGCUGGAUAUUGUUCUCUUCUGAAUUCUUUCGUUUCAUGAAAUAUCCUGUUCUAUAUUUUUUGUUAGAGAUACAAUUUCCAUGUAUUUUCACACAGAAAUACCUAUGAGA